AGAGUUUGAUCCUGGCUCAGGAUGAACGCUAGCUACAGGCUUAACACAUGCAAGUCGAGGGGAAACGAUAUUGGAAGCUUGCUUCCGAUAGGCGUCGACCGGCGCACGGGUGAGUAACGCGUAUCCAACCUGCCCACCACUUGGGGAUAACCUUGCGAAAGUAAGACUAAUACCCAAUGAUAUCUCUAGAAGACAUCUGAAAGAGAUUAAAGAUUUAUCGGUGAUGGAUGGGGAUGCGUCUGAUUAGCUUGUUGGCGGGGUAACGGCCACCAAGGCGACGAUCAGUAGGGGUUCUGAGAGGAAGGUCCCCCANAUUGGAACUGAGACACGGUACCAAACUCCGUACGGGAGCA
rnacentral:rRNA from 1 species